CCUACGGGGUGCUGCAGUGGGGAAUAUUGGACAAUGGGCGAAAGCCUGAUCCAGCCAUGCCGCGUGUGUGAAGAAGGCCUUCGGGUUGUAAAGCACUUUCAGUGGGGAAGAAAGCCUUGGGGCUAAUACCCUCGAGGAAGGACAUCACCCACAGAAGAAGCACCGGCUAACUCCGUGCCAGCAGCCGCGGUAAUACGGAGGGUGCGAGCGUUAAUCGGAAUUACUGGGUGUAAAGCGCGCGUAGGCGGUCUGAUAAGCCGGUUGUGAAAGCCCCGGGCUCAACCUGGGAACGGCAUCCGGAACUGUCAGGCUAGAGUGCAGGAGAGGAAGGUAGAAUUCCCGGUGUAGCAGUGAAAUGCGUAGAGAUCGGGAGGAAUACCAGUGGCGAAGGCGGCCUUCUGGACUGACACUGACGCUGAGGUGCGAAAGCGUGGGUAGCAAACAGGAUUAGAUACCCUAGUAGUC
rnacentral:rRNA from 1 species